rnacentral:rRNA from 1 species
GAUCAUGGCUCAGGAUGAACGCUAGCGGCAGGCUUAACACAUGCAAGUCGAGGGGUAGUUGUCUUCGGAUAAUGAGACCGGCGCACGGGUGCGUAACGCGUAUACAAUCUACCUUUUAACAGAGGGAUAGCCCAGAGAAAUUUGGGAUUAAAUACCGUCAUAGUAUUUUUGAAUCGCAUGAUUUGAUUAUUAAAGUUCCAACGGUAAAAGAUGAGUAUGCGUCCCAUUAGCUAGAUGGUAAGGUAACGGCUUACCAUGGCUACGAUGGGUAGGGGUCCUGAGAGGGAGAUCCCCCACACUGGUACUGAGACACGGACCAGACUCCUACGGGAGGCAGCAGUGAGGAAUAUUGGUCAAUGGGCGCAAGCCUGAACCAGCCAUGCCGCGUGCAGGAAGACGGUCCUAUGGAUUGUAAACUGCUUUUAUUUGGGAAUAAACCUAUUUACGUGUAGAUAGCUGAAGGUACCAAAUGAAUAAGCACCGGCUAACUCCGUG